rnacentral:rRNA from 1 species
GACGAACGCUGGCGGCGUGCUUAACACAUGCAAGUCGAACGGUGAAGCGCCUUCCUUUUUGGUGGGUGUGGAUGAGUGGCGAACGGGUGAGUAACACGUGAGUAACCUGCCCCCUUCUUCUGGAUAACCGCAUGAAAGUGUGGCUAAUACGGGAUAUUCUGGGUCUGUCGCAUGAUGGGUCUGGGAAAGAUAUUGUUUCGGUGGGGGAUGGGCUCGCGGCCUAUCAGCUUGUUGGUGGGGUGAUGGCCUACCAAGGCGGUGACGGGUAGCCGGCCUGAGAGGGUGGACGGUCACACUGGGACUGAGACACGGCCCAGACUCCGACGGGAGGCAGCAGUGGGGAAUAUUGCACAAUGGGCGCAAGCCUGAUGCAGCGACGCCGCGUGAGGGAUGGAGGCCGUCGGGUUGUGAACCUCUUUCGCCAGUGAAGCAGGCCUGCCUCGUUUGUGGGUGGGUUGACGGUAGCUGGAUAAGAAGCGCCGGCUAACUACGUGC